rnacentral:tRNA from 1 species
GGUCUUUUAGUUUAUAUCAGAAUGGUGGUUUUGUAAUCCAUUGGAGACUAUUGUCAUAGGCCU